GGAGAGGUGGCAGAGCGGCCGAUUGUGCAGCACUGGAAAUGCUGUGUUCGGGAAACCGGACCGGGGGUUCGAAUCCCCCCCUCUCCG
rnacentral:tRNA from 1 species